rnacentral:rRNA from 1 species
ACAGAGGGGGCAAGCGUUAUCCGGAAUUAUUGGGCGUAAAGGGCGCGUAGGCGGUUUCUUAAGUGAGAUGUGUAAUCCCCGGGCUUAACUUGGGAACUGCAUCUCAUACUGGGGGACUAGAGUACAGGAGAGGAAGGUAGAAUUCCACGUGUAGCGGUGAAAUGCGUAGAGAUGUGGAGGAACACCAGUGGCGAAGGCGGCUUUCUGGACUGUAACUGACGCUGAGGCGCGAAAGUGUGGGGAGCAAACAG